GGAUUUGAUAUCGUUGGAUUUGAGUACUGAUGAUGAUAGUUGAUGAAGAUCUAUGUUUCAUGGCCACAUAGGGUGAUUAGGUGUUGGAAUAAUCAGAAUUUUUAUUUUACUUUAUUUUAUUUUAUUUUUAUUUUUUUUAAAAAUAAAAGAACAUAUAUUAUUUUAUUUUUAUUUUUAGAAUAUAAAAAAAUAAAAUUUAUUUUGGAUUACUAUAUUUGAUAUGAAAAAUUGAUGGGAG
rnacentral:lncRNA from 1 species